AACCUAUAACAUUUAGUGAAAACUUCAAAUUUACCACCUAAAAUUUAUUAAUAUCAAUCAUACCAACUAAUGAUUUAAUUUUCUCAAUUGAACCUUUCCGUCAACUAUGGUCAACAAAACCGUUAAAAAAACACGCGAGAUUAAUAUGAGCAGCAUCUGUUUAGAAAUUUGGAGGGAAAUUUCUCCUUUUCCCCCUCCUACGCGUUUCUCAAGCAUACAAGAUGGAUAAAAAGUCCCAAUUAAACGACACCACCCGCUGCCCCAAUUUUUGUUCUAGAACCGAUCAAUCGAAGAACACAGUAACCCUAAUCUCACAAUUUCUUCAAUAAUAAUUCAGAGAUGGAAAGCAUGGAGAUGGGUGAUGAUGUUCAUGUGGUCUGCCACUGUGGCGAACAAGCUCGAACAAGAACUAGCUGAAGUUUAUGUAAUCCGGGCGGGAGGUUCAUGGGCUGUCCAGAAUUCGAGGUCGCAUCGUAUUUUUCUUCUUCUAGAAUUUUCGUCUGCAGAGGUAGUCAUUGUUUGAUGAAAAUGAAAGAUCCGGAAGCAGCUGGAUGUGGUUUCUUUCAAUCCACCAGCAUGCCUUCGUGGAAGAGAGGUCACGAUCAGGCUGAUGCCUGACUAUCGAUCAUACCAGAAAACGACUGCUCUGCCCAUGUACAUGCAAGAGAGAAGAAGUUUAAGAUCUGUCUCCUUCAGUCAUGGGUUUUCUCUUCCGUGUUAAAGAAUACUAAUCCUUUGUAAAUGAAUACCGGGUUAAAGAAAAGGAAAAAUCACAUAGAUAAUCCUUGCCACUCCUAGCCUACCUUAUCUUCCAAUUUCCUCCACCAUUCAUGCUCCAUCAUCACCAUGAAUAGUAAUCCUUCCACCUCUCCACCACCAUGUAGCUGCAACAAUUAUCCAACCAACCCUGUCAAAAAUCUACUUAGGCAUGUUUGUGGACAUGUAUUUUAGAAUUUAGAUUGUGAGCUGGGACGAGAAAAUAAAAAAUUCUAAAGCGAUAAAAAGGAGGGAAAGUCUGAAAUUAAUGCUUCUUAAUCGAUAUUUUAGGAGGAGAGGCUCACCACCACUACAUUCGCUGCUUUCCCCGGUCUUGCUUCUUUACUUUUAAAAUCAAUGAAUAAUAUUAUCUCGGAGGGUAAUAUUCUUUUUGCCAAGGUUACCUGCCUCAUGACAUUUAGGUUUUAGCUGUUAGCUGGGUUCUUGUAGCUCUAAUUCUUAGUGUAAUUUGGUUGGUUCUAUUUACAAAAUAAUUG
rnacentral:lncRNA from 1 species